AAGGUCCGUCUACGAACCGGAGAUAGGCGACCGGUUGUUUUGUCCACGCGCCGCUGAGCUAGAGGACAAAAAGAAAGUGAGUGAGCAGCAGCUGAGUCAGCAAUGAUCUUAGAAAAUCGACAAAGUGACACCAACCACAAGUCAACACCAUCUGUCUUGGUCAUAAGGACACACAACAACACACCUCACACAUUAACAUACUCAACUUUAUAUCAUCGCCACUUCUCUUGCAUUAUCAAUUGUUUUUUUGGCAGCAAAGGACAAUAGAAUGUAUCGAUCAUGUGCACAUCCU
rnacentral:lncRNA from 1 species